AUACAAAAAUGCACUUUAAAUGGGGCUAUUCUUUUCCAAGGAGAAAAAAAGCGGGGGGUGGUGGUAUUCUUUUUCAAGCAAGCAAUCUCUUGUAAAAUUCACUUUGCAGCUUCUACCCGAAUCAUAUAGCAAGAUUUCCUCAUUCGCCAGACUGUGGAAAUAAAUCAAUCACCCAUUUCUUUCAAAAAGUCAUUAACACAUAUUAACAAAUAUUAGAUAUUUAGGGACUCAGGGAUAAGGAUGAAAUUCAAAAAGGAAGCUAUGCUCAGAUGCUGAGCCAUUUCUGACACUUUUGGCAUUCUUUCUUGCUUGGACUUCUACUAGUAAAUUUUUUUGUUUAGCCACCUCAUUUUGGAUGUUUGCAUACAAUCCAGUAAAGUGGCACUAUCUAGAAAUUUUAUACUUUAAGACCCUGAGUUACUCUUUACAUCCAAAAGAACCAAAGUCAUGAGAUUAAAUUAAAAAAGGGUUUGGUAGAUCCAGAGAAUUAUUAGCUGUCAGUGUUAGGGAGAAUAGCAUUAACAUUUUAUGGGGUAUUUCUACUUUAUGCCUAUCACCUCAUAUACUAUAAUCUCAUUUCACCUUAAUAUAUAUAGGUAUGAAGUAUAUAUUUAUAUAUGUAAUAUAUUUAUACAAGUAAUAUAUUAAUCCCAUAAAAAGGUAUAAAAUAAAAAAUAACGUAUCUUCACUCCAUCAUCUCUCUUCCCUUUGU
rnacentral:lncRNA from 10 species